rnacentral:sRNA from 2 species
ACCUUAGCUUUCUAGGGUUCCGCGGCAAUGGCCGGCCUGGACCGAGAGAAAGCACACAGCGGUAAGCUGUGACACGGAGGGAUAAAAGCCCGGGAGAU